rnacentral:sRNA from 1 species
GCUAGGCGCAGUGGCAUGUGCCUGUAAUCCAGCAAUUUAGGAGACUGAGGCAGGAGGAUCACAAGUUUGAGGCUAGCCUCAGCAACUUAUCAAGGCCCUAAGCAACUUGGUGAGACCCUGUCUCAA